rnacentral:rRNA from 1 species
AGCUAUAUGAAUUAAUAUAUAGUUAUUUCUGCUCAAUGACAUUUAAAUAGCCGCAGUACUCUGACUGUGCAAAGGUAGCAUAAUCAGUUGGCUUUUAAUUGGAGUCUGGAAUGAAGGAAAAUAUGGGUAGUGACUGUCUUAGCGCAUUUUUUCGAACUUAUUUAGCAAGUGCAAAUACUUGUGGUUUAACAAUAGACGAGAAGACCCUAGAAACUUGAACUAGUUUUUGUUGGGGCGACAGAAUUACAUUUAACUAAUCUUAUAUACAUGACGCAUUACUGAGAGUAUAAGUUACUCUAGGGAUAACAGCAUAAUUUUAACAGUUUGUGACCUCGAUGUUGGACUAGGUAAUAUACCCUUAAGACAGGGGUAUAUCAUGCUCUGUUCGAGCAAUAUUACCUACAU